rnacentral:rRNA from 1 species
CCAAUAGCGUAUAUUAAAGUUGUUGCAGUUAAAAAGCUCGUAGUUGAAUUUCGGGAUUAAUAUGUUGGUCGUGCCUUGGUACGUACUGGCAUUAUUGAUUCCUACCUUCUGAAGAACCUCGAUGUCAUUAAUUUGGUGUCUUGGGGAAUCAGGACUGUUACUUUGAAAAAAUUAGAGUGUUUAAAGCAAGCUAACGCUUGAAUACAUUAGCAUGGAAUAAUGAAAUAGGACGUUCGAUCCUAUUUUGUUGGUUUCUAGGAUUGACGUAAUGAUUAAUAGGGAUAGUUGGGGGCAUUAGUAUUCAAUUGUCAGAGGUGAAAUUCUUGGAUUUAUUGAAGACUAACUACUGCGAAAGCAUUUGCCAAGGAUGUUUUCAUUAAUCAAGAACGAAAGUUAGGGGAUCGAAGACGAUCAGAUACCGUCGUAGUCUUAACCAUAAACUAUGCCGACUAGGGAUCGGAUGAUGUUAAUUUUUUAAUGACUCAUUCGGCGCCUUACG